rnacentral:rRNA from 1 species
UACGUAGGGUGCGAGCGUUGUCCGGAAUUAUUGGGCGUAAAGGGCUCGUAGGCGGUUUGUCGCGUCGGGAGUGAAAACUCAGGGCUUAACCCUGAGCCUGCUUCCGAUACGGGCAGACUAGAGGUAUGCAGGGGAGAACGGAAUUCCUGGUGUAGCGGUGAAAUGCGUAGAUACCUGGAGGAACACCGGUGGCGAAGGCGGCAUCCUGGACCGACACUGACGCUGAGGAGCGAAAGCCAGGGGAGCAAACGGG